UACGUAGGGUGCGAGCGUUAAUCGGAAUUACUGGGCGUAAAGGGUGCGCAGGCGGUUAUAUAAGACAGAUGUGAAAUCCCCGGGCUCAACCUGGGAACUGCGUUUGUGACUGUAUGACUAGAGUACGGUAGAGAGGGGUGGAAUUCCUGGUGUAGCAGUGAAAUGCGUAGAUAUCAGGAGGAACAUCGAUGGCGAAGGCAGCCCCCUUGGACCUGUACUGACGCUCAUGCACGAAAGCGUGGGGAGCAAACAAG
rnacentral:rRNA from 1 species